rnacentral:rRNA from 1 species
GAUGAACGCUGGCGGCGUGCCUAAUACAUGCAAGUCGAGCGAACGGACGAGAAGCUUGCUUCUCUGAUGUUAGCGGCGGACGGGUGAGUAACACGUGGAUAACCUACCUAUAAGACUGGGAUAACUUCGGGAAACCGGGGCUAAUACCGGAUAAUAUUUUGAACCGCAUGGUUCCAAAGUGAAAGACGGUCUUGCUGUCACUUAUAGAUGGAUCCGCGCUGCAUUAGCUAGUUGGUAAGGUAACGGCUUACCAAGGCAACGAUGCAUAGCCGACCUGAGAGGGUGAUCGGCCACACUGGAACUGAGACACGGUCCAGACUCCUACGGGAGGUAGCAGUAGGGAAUCUUCCGCAAUGGGCGAAAGCCUGACGGAGCAACGCCGCGUGAGUGAUGAAGGUCUUCGGAUCGUAAAACUCUGUUAUUAGGGAAGAACAUAUGUGUAAGUAACUGUGCACAUCUUGACGGUACCUAAUCAGAAAGCCACGGCUAACUACGUG